GGCGUGGCUCAGCCUGGUAGAGCGCCAGCUUUGGGAGCUGGAUGUCGCGGGUUCGAAUCCCGCCGCC
rnacentral:tRNA from 1 species